rnacentral:lncRNA from 1 species
AUGGGCGUCGGGCCUGCCCAAAAGCCAUCUAAAGGCGUCGUCCGAUGCAGCGCCCAAGGCGGCAUAGGCUAUGGUGGGAUCACCCCAUGCAACGAUCGGGCGCACGGCACCAUCAGGCACCGGCACGUUGAUGUCGACGGUGGGUUCGCCCGCGGCCCACCGGAGUGCGUCGACGGCGCUUUGGGGCUUGCCCUUGAUGAGGCUCACGAGAACCUCGACGGUGCACGGGUGCAGGCCCCUGUCGUGAGCCAGUGCAAUAGUGGGUAGGUGAUCCCGAGCAGCGGCUUGCAGCAUCGUCUCAAAGGGGACGCUGCGGACACAAGGUGACGGCUCCAUUUCCAAGAGCCACUGUGCGACACGCACACGUCCACAUGAGAUGGCCUUGAUGAGCGUCGACGAUCCGAUGGCGUCGUGGCCCCCGUCCAGGUGCUUGGAUCGGGUGUCGACACUACGCGCAUGCAGCCAUGCGACGAUGGGAGCCUGGUCGGUAUCGAGGGCAAGUGCGGCCACUUGGACGCUACAAUCGCACAUGCCGACGACGGCGAUGCGGCGCGCGUGGAUGGCCUCGAUGACAUGGAGAUGGCCGGCACGGACCGCCUCCAAAAGGCCUGCCUCGACCACGUCGGCGCUGUUGGGGCCGCGUGGAGACGGCAGUCGCGUGAGCAACCACAAGGCCACCUCAACGUGCGCCCGGCGACAGGCCGCCUUGAGGGCGUCCUCGAUAAUGCGCCGUUGGUGUCUCUUCACGUCGAUGCUCUGCAGAUCAAAGCGCCUGGGCACGGGUUUGCGGUCGGCCGCCUCGAUCCACACGUACUUGACGACGUCGAGGCGACCCCCGCGUGCGGCGUGUAUCGUCAUAUCGAGUCUUGGCUUGCCGGUCGACCGCUCUACAGACGCACGCACUACGUCGAGCGGUGCACCGCGCUCCAUCAACUGGGUCAGCGUCAUGCUGUCGUGACCCGCUGCAACGCGGCGUGUGGCCGGACCGACAUCUAUGCCCGUCGCUACAGACCAGGCGACGAGGUCGCGCGGACGUGAGAUCGAGUCGGUGAUGUGCUGGAUCAGUUCAGGUGGCAGAUCAUUCAGCAUGGCCAUGCUCGCCGGCACGCACCCGAUGCGCAAAAAUCGUGCGAGUCUGCGUGCCCUGCAACUCAAGAUUAAAAAGGCCACCGAG